GUGGGGAGCUGUGGCCAUAGAGUGGGAAAGGAGACCACUUUCAAAAUCAUAGCCGUCAGUCUUCUCUCCCUUUCUGAUUUGCUUCUCCAUCACUGAUACCAGUGGAAGCCGGAGGAGGAAGAGGCCAAAAUGACGCACUCCAUGGAAGUCUGUCUGCAAGGCAAAGGACAGACAGAACUGGGUUGAAAACUUAUUUAGGUAAGAAGAGACUAAUCCGUCUAAUAUGUCACAAAUAUGCCAUACAUCUGUUGGAAACUUUCCUAGAAAUGCAAUCUCAGUAUCAAUAGGAAGAAAAGAGCUACCUAAGCAUCCCCUUGAUAUCUGUUCUCCUGCUCUGCCAGGGUAUGCAGUGCUCCCUCACUGAAAAAACUGCUCAGAAUUAAGACUACAUUUCCCAGCCUCCCUUUGGCCAAAGUGAUGUCAGAGGAAGUGUCAGGUGACGGCUUCUAAGGAGCUUCUCUGAGGUCGGCUGACUUGGGCUAUUUACCCCUCAUGGUUUACUCCUUCCUGAGGUUCACUGGCUGCCCAGGACCACACCAUUUGCAUGGUAUGACUUCAGCAAGUCCCAUGGGCUUUACCCUUCUAUCGAUGUGGACCCAAAUGCCCUCAGCAUCACCCUUCUUCCGGCUGCCCUCGUGUUUCACACUGGCUGCUGCAGUGGUGGCGGUCUUCCUGCUUUGGCAUUGCACUGGUAAGCAUCUCAUCGCUGCCUCUCUGGGAGAAAAAAGCCCUGCUCUGUUGCUUUCACCAGCUUUGGCAGUGUAAAUCCUCCACUCUGGCUAAUUUCAAACUAGCAACACAGAGGCGUCACUGAGUACAGAGGUGAGAAGAGAUUCACAGUAGCCCCUGUUAGAUAGUAUUCCC
ensembl:lincRNA